CGACCCUUUGCAUAGAGGGGGACGGGGGGUUUUAUAGACGAACCCACCGACCUACAAUAUGGAUAAAAGUACUAGAGUGGAACUCGGUUGGCAGCAUCGCCGGCUGGCCAGUGGGGUCACAAGGGUCUUGUCUUGUCACUGGAGGGGCCCGCUGGCUGCGAGGUCUUGUCUAGCUGUGGGACCCUCCGUCUAGCCAAUAAGGCUCUCGUGUAAGGUUGACGCAGGACACGUGUGG
rnacentral:lncRNA from 1 species